rnacentral:rRNA from 1 species
ACUGCAGGCUGCAACUCGCCUGCACGAAGUCGGAAUUGCUAGUAAUCGUAGGUCAGCAUACUACGGUGAAUACGUUCCCGGGCCUUGUACACACCGCCCGUCAAACCAUGAGAGUUGGCAACACCCGAAGCCCAUGCCAAAGUGGUCGAAGGUAGGCUUGAUGAUUGGGGUGAAGUCGUAACAAGGUAGC